GAAAGGUGGGUGAUGCCGUGAUGCUUUCGUUCGCGAUCGCGACGAACGAUCUUUUCGCCUUGCCUUCGAAGCCGUGUUCGUACUCGCAGUCACGGAUGAUAAUUUAACUAUUCCUGUAUGAAGCGUGAAUUCCCGUAAUUUAGAAGUUUAUGUGGGUUAUGAUUUUGCUACAUAAAACCUGUAAAACGACUGUUGAUGAAGUGUUAGUGCCGUGAGACGUGAAUUUGGAACGAUUGGUCAUAGUUCCCGCAAUCGAGUGAAUUUGUGUGUGCCGACGAAUUUAUGUGUGUAACCGACCGGGAAUAGCGUAUCUUCAUUUUAUUCUUGAAGAUCUUGAGUGUGGCGUGGCGGUGAGCGGUCGCGAUGACGACCGACAUAUCGGUGUCCCGCUGGGACCCGUCCAUCGGCCACGGGCAGGAGCUCAUCGAGGAGUUCGAGUACGACGGCGGCAACUCGUCCUCAAGGCUUUUCGAACGAUCGCGCAUCAAGGCGCUAGCUGACGAACGAGAGAGUGUACAGAAGAAGACUUUCCAAAAAUGGGUGAAUUCCCACCUGGUGCGCGUGGGGCACCGCAUCGGCGACCUCUACGUAGACAUGAGGGACGGCAAAAUGCUCCUCAAACUCCUCGAGGUGCUGUCCGGAGAAAGACUGCCGCGCCCCACAAAGGGCAAGAUGCGUAUCCACUGCCUGGAGAACGUUGACAAGGCGCUCCAGUUCCUGAGGGAACAGCGGGUGCAUCUGGAGAACAUGGGAUCCCACGAUAUCGUGGAUGGAAACCCGCGCCUCAAUCUUGGACUCAUCUGGACCAUCAUCCUGCGCUUCCAGAUCCAAGACAUCACAAUCGAAGAGACAGACAACAAAGAAACCAAAUCCGCCAAGGACGCCCUGCUCCUCUGGUGUCAGAUGAAGACAGCUGGCUACAACAACGUAAACGUUCGCAACUUCACGACCUCCUGGAGAGAUGGCCUGGCCUUCAACGCCAUCAUACACAAGCACAGACCUGACCUGAUCCAGUUUGAGAGGUUGCACAGAAGCAAUCCCAUUCAUAAUUUGAACAAUGCAUUUAAUGUCGCUGAGGAGAAACUCGGACUUACCAAACUGCUGGAUGCUGAAGACAUCGCCGUAGACCACCCAGACGAGAAGUCGAUCAUCACAUACGUGGUGACAUACUACCACUACUUCAGCAAGAUGAAGCAGGAGACCGUUCAAGGCAAGAGGAUCGGCAAGGUCGUCGGCAUUGCUAUGGAGAAUGAGAAGAUGAUGAUGGAGUAUGAGUCGCUUACCAGCGACCUCCUGCAAUGGAUCGAGCGUACGAUCGAGGCGCUGGGCGACCGUACUUUCGCCAAUUCGUUGGAAGGCGUGCGCCAACAGCUCAUACAGUUCGCCAACUACCGCACUGUCGAGAAGCCGCCUAAGUUCGUCGAGAAGGGUAACCUCGAAGUGCUUCUCUUCACGCUGCAAUCCCGCAUGCGUGCAGCCAAUCAGAAGCCCUACACGCCUAAAGAAGGCAAGAUGAUCCACGACAUCAAUCGCGCCUGGGAGCGUUUAGAGAAGGCAGAGCACGAGAGAGAACUGGCUCUGAGAGAGGAACUGAUCAGACAGGAGAAGCUGGAACAGCUGGCUGCUAGAUUCAACCGCAAAGCCCAGAUGCGCGAGACAUGGCUCUCGGAGAACCAGCGCCUGGUCAGCCAGGACAACUUCGGCUUCGACCUGGCUGCAGUGGAGGCCGCUGCCAAGAAGCACGAGGCCAUCGAGACCGACAUCUUCGCUUAUGAGGAGCGCGUGCAAGCCGUCGUCGGCGUCUGCUCCGAGCUGCAAGCCGAGAGAUACCACGAUAUGGAGCGAGUGUGCGCGCGCCGCGACAACGUUCUCCGUUUGUGGGCGUACUUGCUCGAAUUGCUGCGCGCGCGCCGCGCCCGCCUCGAGCUGUCGUUGCAGCUGCAGCAGAACUUCCAGGAAAUGUUAUACAUCCUGGACUCCAUGGAAGAGAUCAAGAUGCGUCUGUUGACGGACGACUACGGCAAACAUCUGAUGGGAGUCGAGGACUUGCUGCAAAAGCACGCGCUGGUUGAAGCCGAUAUCAACGUGUUGGGUGAACGAGUCAAGGUGGUGGUGGGUCAGUCCCAGCGCUUCCUGGAACAAGAGGAGGGCGGCUACCGGCCCUGCGACCCUGCUAUUACGGUGGAGCGCAUCCAACAGCUCGAGAACGCUUACGCCGAGCUCGUGCAUUUGGCCGUGGAGCGCAGAAAGCGCCUGGAGGACAGCCGCAAGCUGUGGCAGUUCUACUGGGACAUGGCCGACGAGGAGAACUGGAUCAAGGAGAAGGAGCAAAUCGUGUCCGUGGACGACAUCGGCCACGACCUCACUACUGUGUACCUGCUGAUCUCCAAGCACAAAGCGUUGGAGGCGGAUGUACAAGCUCACGAGGUUCAACUUAUGGGCGUAGCAGCCGUGGGUGACGAGCUCAUCUCCGGCGGACACUUCGGCGCUGACAGGAUACAGGACCGUCUCCGCGACAUCCUGUCCCAAUGGAAUCACCUACUCGACGCGGUGUCCCUCCGCAAGAACCGUUUGGACGCAGCUGUUCGCUACCACCAACUGUUCGCUGACGCCGAUGACAUUGACAACUGGAUGUUGGACACGCUCAGAUUGGUGUCGUCGGAAGAUACCGGUGUGGACGAGGCGCAAGUCCAGAGCCUGCUGAAGAAGCACAAGGACGUCACCGACGAGCUCAAGAACUACGCCAGCGUCAUUCAGCAGCUCAAGCAACAGGCAAGCGAGCUAAGCCCAGAAGACGCCAACAGCCCCGAGGUCCGUGAGCGUUUGGCCGCCAUCGACGCGCGUCACGGAGAACUUGCCGAGUUGGCUCGUCUCCGCAAGCAGAGGCUGCUCGAUGCUCUCUCGCUGUUCAAACUGCUGGGAGAAGCUGAUGCUGCCGACCAAUGGAUCGCUGAGAAGGAUCGUAUGUUGGAUACCAUGCUGCCGCCUAAGGAUAUCGAUGAUGUGGAGAUUAUGAAGCACAGAUACGACGGCUUCGACAAGGAGAUGAACGCGAACGCGUCCCGCGUGGCGGUCGUGAACCAGCUGGCUCGGCAGCUCAUCCACGUGGAGCACCCGCAGGCGCCCGCCAUACAGCAGCGGCAGCAGGCCCUCAACCAGGCCUGGGGCGCUCUCAGGGAGAAGGCGGAAGCCAAGAAGGACGAACUGAAGUCCGCGCAAGGCGUGCAGACGUUCCACAUCGAGUGCCGCGAGACGGUGUCGUGGAUCGAGGACAAGAAGCGCAUCCUGCAGCAGACCGACAACCUGGAGAUGGACCUCAACGGCGUGAUGACCCUUCAGCGCCGGCUAUCGGGCAUGGAGCGCGACCUGGCCGCCAUCCAGGCGCGCAUCAGCUCGCUGGAGGACGAGGCCAACGCCAUCGAGGGCUCGCACCCGGAGGAGGCGGCGCUCAUCCGCGAGCGCGUCCAGCACAUCACCGAGAACUGGGACCAGCUGACGCAGAUGCUCAAAGAACGCGACUCAAAAUUGGAGGAAGCCGGAGACUUGCACCGUUUCCUACGCUCCGUCGACCACUUCCAGGCCUGGCUCACAAAGACGCAGACGGACGUGGCUUCUGAAGACACGCCGUCAAGCCUGGCCGAGGCGGAGAAGCUUCUGUCGCAGCACCAGACCAUCAAGGAGGAGAUCGACAACUACAAGGACGAGUACGCCAAGAUGAUGGAGUAUGGCGAGAAGAUCACUGCCGAGCCGUCCACCCAAGACGACCCGCAAUACAUGUUCCUGCGCGAGCGUCUUAAGGCUCUGCGUGAGGGCUGGGCCGAGUUGCAGCAGAUGUGGGAGAACAGGCAGCAGCUUCUUGCUCAAAGCCUGGAGCUGCAGCUGCUGCAGAGAGACGCGCGCCAGGCUGAGGUGCUGCUGGCGCACCAGGAGCUCAGACUGGCAAAGACCGAGCCGCCAACGAACCUGGAGCAAGCCGAGAACCUCAUCAAGGAGCACGAGGCCUUCCUCACGACCAUGGAAGCCAACGACGACAAGAUCAACUCCGUCGUGCAGUUUGCCAACCGCCUGGUGGAAGAACGCCACUUCGAUGCCGACAAGAUCCAACGCAAGGCUGAGAGCAUCGAGGCGCGCCGCAACGCAAACCGCGACAAGGCCGUCCAGCAAAUGGAGAAGCUCCAAGACCAGCUUCAACUCCACCAGUUCCUCCAAGACUGCGACGAACUCGGCGAGUGGGUGCAGGAGAAGAACGUCACCGCACAAGACGACACCUACCGCUCCGCAAAGACCAUCCACUCGAAAUGGACCCGCCAUCAAGCUUUCGAGGCCGAAAUCGCGGCUAACAAGGAACGCCUGUUCGCCGUCCAGAACGCGGCCGAAGAACUCAUGAAGCAGAAGCCGGAAUUCGUCGAAAUCAUCUCCCCCAAGAUGACCGAAUUAGAAGAUCAAUUCGAAAACCUCCAGACGACAACCAAAGAAAAGGGCGAGCGUCUCUUCGACGCGAACCGCGAGGUGCUCCUCCACCAGACCUGCGACGACAUCGACUCGUGGAUGAACGAACUAGAGAAGCAGAUCGAGAACACCGACACCGGCACUGAUCUGGCGUCUGUCAACAUUCUCAUGCAGAAGCAGCAGAUGAUCGAGACUCAGAUGGCCGUCAAGGCGAAGCAGGUCACGGAAUUGGAGACCCAAGCGGAAUACUUGCAGAAGACCGUGCCCGAUAAGAUGGAGGAAAUUAAGGAAAAGAAAAAAUCUGUGGAGCAAAGAUUCGAGCAGCUCAAAGCUCCUCUACUGGAGCGUCAGCAGAACUUGGCGAAGAAGAAAGAAGCGUUCCAAUUCAGACGCGACAUCGAGGAUGAGAAAUUAUGGAUCCAUGAGAAGAUGCCUUUAGCUACCAGCACUGAUUACGGCAACUCGCUGUUCAACGUGCAGAUGCUUCAGAAGAAGAACCAGUCUCUCAAGACCGAGACUGACAACCACGAGCCGCGUAUCCUGACGGUCAUCUCCAACGGACAGAAGCUCAUUGAUGAGGGACACGAGGACGCGCCCGAGUUCAAGCAGAGGAUCGACGAACUCACGGCGCGGUGGCGAGAACUUAAAGAUGCCAUCGAACAACGCAAGAACAACCUGUCCCAAUGGGAGAAAGCGCAACAGUAUCUGUUCGACGCCAACGAAGCGGAGGCCUGGAUGAGCGAGCAAGAGCUAUACAUGAUGGUGGAAGACCGCGGUAAAGACGAGAUCUCUGCCCAGAACCUGAUGAAGAAGCACGAGAUUCUGGAGCAGGCGGUUGAUGAUUAUGCGCAGACCAUCCGCCAGCUCGGAGAAACUGUCAGGCAGCUGACCAGCGAGGAACAUCCUUUGAGCGAACAAAUCUCCGUAAAGCAAUCGCAAGUGGACAAACUGUACGCUGGACUCAAGGACUUGGCCGGCGAGCGCCGCGCCAAGCUUGACGAAGCGUUGCGACUCUUCCAGCUGUCUCGCGAGGUCGACGAUCUGGAACAAUGGAUCACGGAGCGAGAGCUGGUGGCUAGUUCACAGGAGCUCGGACAGGACUACGAGCAUGUCACUCUUCUAUGGGAGCGUUUCAAGGAGUUCGCGCGCGAGACCCAAGCGGUUGGGUCUGAACGCGUGGCCACUGCUGAACGCAUCGCCGACCAGAUGAUCGCCAUGGGUCACUCUGACAACGCCACGAUUGCACAGUGGAAGGAGGGGCUCAAGGAGACCUGGCAGGACUUGUUGGAGCUCAUCGAGACCAGGACACAGAUGCUGGCGGCAUCUCGCGAGCUUCACAAAUACUUCCACGACUGCAAAGACACGCUACAACGCGUCAACGAGAAGGCCCGCGGAGUGAGCGACGAGCUGGGCCGCGACGCCAUCAGCGUGGGCGCGCUGCAGCGCAAGCACCACAACUUCAUGCAGGACCUCAGCACGCUGCAGCAGCAGGUGGAAGCCAUCACAGCGGAAUGCAGCCGCCUCGGCGCGUCAUACGCGGGCGACAAGGCCGCAGAGAUCACCCGACGAGCCGGCGAGGUCGCCGACGCCUGGGCAGCCUUACAGGCCGCCUGCCGCGCCAGGAAGGCCAAGCUUGAAGACGCUGAUGACCUGUACCGGUUCCUGAACCAAGUCCGCACGCUUACCCUCUGGAUGGACGAUGUGGUCCGCCAGAUGAACACCGGAGAGAAGCCACGAGACGUAAGCGGCGUUGAGCUUCUAAUGAACAACCACCAAUCGCUGAAGGCCGAGAUCGACACGCGCGAAGACAACUUCACGGCUUGCAUCUCGCUCGGCAAGGAGCUAUUGGCGAGACAGCACUACGCGACUGCAGACAUCAAGGACAAACUGCUGCUCCUCACCAACCAGAGGAACGCACUGCUGCGCCGCUGGGAGGAGCGCUGGGAGAACUUGCAGCUCAUCCUGGAAGUAUACCAGUUCGCCCGCGACGCGGCCGUGGCCGAAGCGUGGCUGAUCGCCCAAGAACCGUACCUCAUGUCCCAAGAGUUGGGCCACACCAUCGACGAGGUGGAGAGCCUCAUCAAGAAGCACGAGGCUUUCGAAAAGAGCGCGGCGGCGCAGGAGGACAGAUUCAGCGCGCUACAGAGACUUACCACGUUCGAAGUGAAAGAGAUGAAGAGACGCCAAGAAGCUGCCGAAGCGGCUGAACGUGAGAAACGCGAGCGGGAAGCAGCCGAGGCCGCCGCCGCCGCCGCCGCAGCCGCGCAAGACGCCGUCGACCGCGCCGCCUCGCCGCAGGAACAACCGCAGCCGCAGGAGGCCAGUAGUCCCGCCCCCGCCCCCGUGCCCGUGGCCACCCCGGCCACUCCACUGGCCACCCCCGUGGCUGUCCCAGUGGCCACCCCCGCCCCGUCCACGUCGAAACAGACGCCAGCCAAACCGGCACGCCUCUCUACGCCCGGGACGAGUUCGACCCCGGCCACUCCGUCCAGCUCCGGUAAGGUGAAGUCGCGGUCCCGAAGCAAGUCUCCGUUCCGAAGCUUCCGGUGGCGCACUGCGAAGAAGCUACUGGCCGGAUCGCAUCAUAGCGACGACGAAGAGGGUGCUAGCCCCGCGGGAGAGGAUGAGGGUGUGGAGGGCACUCUGGUACGCAAGCACGAGUGGGAGUCCGCCGCCAAGCGAGCCUCCAACAGAUCAUGGGACAAAGUGUACGUGGUGGCAAAGGACGGUCGCAUGUCGUUCUUCAAGGACCAGAAAUCGUACAAGGCGGCGCCGGACCAGCACUGGCGCGGGGAGGCGCCGCUCGACCUCAACGGCGCCGUCGUCGAGGUCGCCGCCAACUACACCAAGAAGAAGCACGUGUUCCGGCUCAGGUUGAGCAGCGGCGCGGAGUUCCUGCUGCAGGCGCACGACGACACAGAGAUGGCGUGGUGGCUGGAGGGCCUGCGCGCGCGCACCGCCGCGCCCGCGCCGCGCUCGCACACGCUGCCCGCGCCCGCCAACGCAGAGCCCAAGCGCCGAUCCUUCUUCACGCUCAAGAAGAAGUCAGUCAAACCGAUUAGCUUCAUAUUCGCGCCGUAGCACCUAGCGAGCAUGUUUGUACCCACCACCUCAUGAGUCAGCUUCUGGGCUAUGUGGUGUGCAGGGUUUAUUUUGUAAAUUUUUUGUUUCGCUUUCCCAUUUUUCUGUCUCAUUUCUCGUUUUUCGGUCUCAUUUCUCGUUUUUCGCUUUUUCAUUUCCCAUUUCUCAUUUCCUAUUUUUUGCUUCCCCAUAUCCCAUUUUUCCCGCGGCCGCCUACGCUGAGCCCAAGCGCCGAUCCUUCUUCACGCUCAAGAAGAACUAAACACCGUGAGAGUUGGAGACGAGCUGCCACCGCGCCCUACGCCGUCAUGUUUCCUCAUUACGCACGCGUCCUCGCCCGCGUGUAGUGCGCGUCACGCGCGCGUCGCGCGCACGUCAGACACGCGCCCCGAAGGACGCAGCAUAUUUCUCACGACGCUUGCUGCUGUAAGCUUUGCUAAUGACGAAAUUAUGUCGACCGGCGGCACCUAUCGACUGUCGAAAAUUAUAAAUGUUAUUAUUAUUAUUAUUUUGUUGCGUACAAAUACGUUAUUUAAGACUGUAUGGUAACUGAGUGUUUGAAUCGUUUGCCUUCGUCUGUAUUUGUUGUACGGUGACGGUACCGGCGAUUAAAUAUUUAUAGAUACACGACCGAGUAUGUAUGAUCCCACCCCCGAAUAUGUAUAAUUGUUGUAAUAUGAAACUAUUAAAUGAAAUACAUAUUAUUAAAUUCUAAAUGCGACGCUAUUUAUGAAUAGAUGAUUUUAGUGUUUAAAUUCAGAUUGAGAAUAUAUUAUAUAUAUAUUUUAAUUAUUUAUAUAUAUUAAAUGGAGCUAGUGUAAUAUAAAUUCAGUACUAGAAAUGUAUGUCGUUCGAUUCGUAUAACAAUAAUAAAAUAAUUCGAUCUUGAAGUUUACUAAGCACUAUUUGACCAAUCAAAUAUCAAUUCGACGGAAUUUGAGUAUCUCAUUUGAUAUUUCAAUAAUAAUAAGCUAAGACGACGGAUUGUAACCGCAUUUACAUCCAAUUUAUUAAUUAGUUAUCCGGUGUUCGAUGUUUUAUUAUUCGACGGCUUGCUGUGUCAGCAGUACGGUAACGUUCACAGUUAUAACGUAAGCUACGUAAUUGUAUUAGAGUUAAUUUCCAUUAUCGUGUCUUCUUCCCGUGCUCCGGCGUUGCUGUUGGUAUUGAUCGCAUUUAAUAAUUCCGACAUUUCUUCUUAGACUCUUAGUCGUAAGAGCGAGUAGUGUAGAUGCAGCAACGCCGGCGCCACUAGCGUCGGACUGUAAGUAUGCUUGAUCGCCUCGUAAGUGCUUCUACAAAGUAACGUGUCUUUAUAUUUAAUAAUUUUAAAUUAUAAUUAUUUUUACUGCCAACGUUUCACAAAGUGUUAAUGUUUCUAAGCGAUCCUUAUCUAAAUUUCACAUUUAAUAUUACGAUCACACAUUUUUAGUUCUGUUACGAUUGUAUGAGCGCGCGCGGUGUGGCCUCUGACGUCACGCGAGGCCGCACCGCGCGCACUG